GACGUAGGGCGCGAGCGUUGUCCGGAUUUAUUGGGCGUAAAGAGCUCGUAGGCGGCUUGUCGCGUCGAUCGUGAAAACUUACAGCUUAACUGUGAGCGUGCGGUCGAUACGGGCAUCACUGGAGUUCGGCAGGGGAGACUGGAAUUCCUGGUGUAGCGGUGAAAUGCGCAGAUAUCAGGAGGAACACCGGUGGCGAAGGCGGGUCUCUGGGCCGAUACUGACGCUGAGGAGCGAAAGCGUGGGGAGCGAACAGG
rnacentral:rRNA from 1 species